CUCCGCCCGCUGGGAGCCAGGCAGCGGUUGCGGCGCGCGAGCCAUUUGCAUUCCCCGGCAGUCAUUUUUAUAUGCGGAGCACAUUUGAUGUGAAUAGAAGAUUUCCAUUGGCUGGCUGAUUCUGAGCACCAUCAUGGCUGAAAGAUUUCCAUGAGGAACUACUACUCCUAAAGCUGGCCUACAAUUUGAACAGAAAUGCGGAGAUGAUUACCAGCUUAUAUGCCUGAUCUCCAGCCUAUGUGCAGAUAUAUGAGAAUAAAUGGUAGCUGUUUUAUGUCAUGGUGUUAUGGGAUGGCUUGUUACACAGCAUUUUGGUGGCCAUUGCUAACUGAUACACAAAGUUUAUGAACGCUCUUACAAGUGAACUCUUGGAAAAUAACCCAUUGUUUACUCUUGGGAAAGCCAGCUGAACUGAGUAUUCUCAGGCAGCCCAGUGGAGGAGUCCACAUGAGAAGAAUGGAGGCAUCUUUCCAAGAGUCAUGUGCAACCUCAUGAAAAAUUUGAAACUACCCCUUAACUUCUUAGCCCACAGAAAUUGUUGGGGAAAAAAAUGUUGUUUUAAGCAGCUGUAUUUUUGGAUAAUGCUAUGCAGCAAUGUACAAUUACUACAAUAAACUUAAAUGAUUCUUUUCUAUAAUUCUCUCCUGAAAUGCCUGAGUGAGUACUAAUAAUAUUCUUCUUUUUCAUUCCCUUUAGUAGGUACCUUGUUUGUAGAAUUUAUUCCAUUGCAUUGUCUAUUCACAUGUCUGUCUCUUCCAUUAGACUAUGAGAUAUCUGUAUUCUCAGAUGCUUGGCACAGUUCUUGGCAUCUUACAUACUGAAUUAAGGAUGAUAAAAAUAGCCACUGCACAAAUCUGGAAAAAUCACUUAGAGAAGAAUAAUUAAGACAAAGGAUAAAAAUUCAUCUCUAUCUCUGCCAUAGUAAUCCUCAGUUUUGGCAAGAGAUGACACCUGACAGAAAAUCCUCAGAUGGAGUCAGCACUGUAUUUUUUCCACCAUGUGUGAGCAUGGAAAGUAGUUGUCUGCACUCUUGUUUCAGCAACUGAUGGGCAUUCCUGCUUAGAAGAGGUGGUCAUUUUAUAUCAAUAGAGAUGACUGAAAAUACAGCAGAAAGUAAUCCCUAAUCCAGUUCUCUUCCCUGAGGGGAAGAGGAUGGAGGUGCCAUGAUCAACUUGACUGUGUAGACAAAGACACCACUCUGGAGAGUGGCAGAGCAACUGGAAGGAAGCCUAAGUGACCACAUAUGGCAGAACCUGCCUCAUCCUGGACUGUUUGCUUGCAGUGUUGCACAAGUAUGGAAUAAACCUGUAUUUCUUUAA